GUGCUUGCUUCAGCAGUACAUCUACUAAAAUUGGAAUGAUACAAGAGAAGAUUAGCAUGGCCCCUGUGCAAGGAUGACACACAAAUUUGUGAAGUGUUCCAUAUUUUU
ensembl:snRNA U6 U6 spliceosomal RNA